rnacentral:rRNA from 1 species
UACGUAGGGCGCAAGCGUUGUCCGGAAUUAUUGGGCGUAAAGGGCUCGUAGGCGGUUCGUCACGUCGGGAGUGAAAACUCGGAGCUUAACUCCGAGCCUGCUUCCGAUACGGGCAGACUAGAGGUAGGCAGGGGAGAGCGGAACUCCUGGUGUAGCGGUGGAAUGCGCAGAUAUCAGGAAGAACACCGGUGGCGAAGGCGGCUCUCUGGGCCUUACCUGACGCUGAGGAGCGAAAGCGUGGGGAGCAAACAGG